CAACCCUCGAACCCCUCCGGGGGGUCGGCGUUGGGGAUCGGGACCCCUCACCGGGUGCCGGCCCUGAAAUACAGUGGCGGUCUCGCCGCAGCCUCUCCUGCGCAGUAGUUUGCACAACUCGCACCGGGAGCGCGGCGCGUCCACGUCCGUAAAACACCCAACUUCUGAAA
rnacentral:misc_RNA from 1 species